GACGAACGCUGGCGGCGUGCUUAACACAUGCAAGUCGAACGAUGAAGCUGGAGCUUGCUCCGGUGGAUUAGUGGCGAACGGGUGAGUAACACGUGAGUAAUCUGCCCUUGACUCUGGGAUAACUGCGGGAAACUGUAGCUAAUACCGGAUACGACACCUUCGGGCAUCCGAUGGGUGUGGAAAGAAUUUCGGUCAAGGAUGAACUCGCGGCCUAUCAGCUAGUUGGUGAGGUAAUGGCUCACCAAGGCGACGACGGGUAGCCGGCCUGAGAGGGGGACCGGCCACACUGGGACUGAGACACGGCCCAGACUCCUACGGGAGGCAGCAGUGGGGAAUAUUGCACAAUGGGCGAAAGCCUGAUGCAGCAACGCCGCGUGAGGGAUGAAGGCCUUCGGGUUGUAAACCUCUUUUAGUUGGGAAGAAGCGAAAGUGACGGUACCAACAGAAAAAGCACCGGUUAACUACGUGCCAGCAGCCGCCGUAA
rnacentral:rRNA from 1 species